rnacentral:lncRNA from 1 species
UAUAAAAUGAUGGACCUGUGGUUUUUUUAAUGUAGUAGCAGUGGGUGUCUGUGGAGGAGUGAAGAGGUUCAUUCUCUCCUUUUAAGUGAGUUACAAGGUCCAGACUUAGAUCGUUAGGUUUAUGCUACUAAAACAGAACUUACACUGUCAAGCUGGCAGCGCAGGUGGUUUAUGUGCUGAGCCAUCUCAUCAGUCCUAUGUCACUCACACAGGACAGAAAAUAUUUUACCAAUAUGUACUAAGUUAUCUGACAAUGUAUAAGAAAAAUGAACAUGAGGCUAUUAAAAGUUAAUAAGUGUCAAAAAUGUUACAUAGGAAAGACAUUCUUCUCCCUCUUCUCCAUUCUGGUCUCCCUGGUCUUGCUACUGCCUUCUUUAGGACCCCCUCCUCUCAGCCUGUCUCUUUUCCUUUGGCAGACCCCUGCCUGCUACCCCUGCCUACCAAAAACCCUAUAGCAACUGAGUAGCCAAGACCCAGGUGGACUAACCUAUGUUCUCCCUUCUUCCUCCAUUACGGUUCCCCUGUAAGGAUGUAACACUAUUAUCUAUGAUAGAUAAUACUCUCAUACUUCUCCCACCCUUUGCAACUCAUGGUACCCCAGCUCUGCCUCCUACAAGGACCUUGUCGCAACUAUAUGAGGUAGUCCUAGCUUUGUUCUCCUUCCUCUUCUGUCCAGUUGUCCACAUCACAUCUAACUUCCAGUUCAUGACUGAAUCCCACAUCCUGUGCCUAGCUCCAAUCAAGUAAAAUCCCUGAACCAAUGUUUACCUGCACCCUGCCUCCAACAUCCAUACAUAGCAAUAGUUGCACACUGUCUGUACAAUUCUGUCUGAUCAGUCUUGCUACACUUUACUUCAAGCUCUAGGCUUGGCUCUUAACCAAUAAACCAGUCCUGAUUGAUCAGCUCUCCUGACGCUUACCUACUCCUACCACAUCAAAUAUCCAGGCCUACCCUUGAGAGCAUACCAUAUACUGAGGUGUAGUUUUGUAAGUUUGCUGAACUCUAGCUCACAUGCACCCUCUGAGUGUCCAGACAUAUCUCUGGUCACACAUCUAUGUGAGGUUUAAGCCUUAUGCUUCCCUAGAACCACAUCUGCCCUCCGCAUCCCAAGCUAAAGCCUUGCUCAUAGUGACUGGAUAUGCUGUUCUGUGCAAGCCAGUCUAGAAACUCAUAGGAGACACAACACCAACAAAAGAAGUCCACAUGCCCAGGCCACAUUGAAAAAACAAACAUACAAUAUGGAAGGCCAAGACAGUAUACUUUCCACAAAGUCCACCACUCAAAUACAACUGUUUUCCAAUGAGAAUAACCUAGAUCAAUCCUAGAACACAAAAAAAAUUAGAAGAAAAAAAAACCUCAAGGACUUUAAAGAAGACACAAAUAGCCCAAUAUACUUAAAUGAUGAACUUAAAGAAAAUAAAUGCCUGAGCAAUGCCCCAAAAACCAAAAUCAUAAGGCUGAAUAAAAUGACAAAGACAAUGUAGGAUUGUAAACAUCAAAUUCAGUACAGAUAAUAUUGAAUAAAACUCAAGCUGAAAUUAAGAUGAAAAUGAAAACCUCAAUAUUGUAGUUUUAAAACUCAGAUGUGGAGGAGGCUUGCCAGGAGAAUAACUCAAGCAGAAGAUAAAAUAACAAGACUCAAAAAUAAAAUAGAAGUUUUACAUCACACAAAAUCAAUGAUUAUAAAAAAUAGAAAUAAACACAGGAAAAGAAAGUUUAGGAGCUAUGGGAUAUCAUAAAAAGACCAAUCUUCAAAUUAUAGGCACAGAUGAAGGAGAAGCAUUCCAGGUCAAUGGCUUAAAUCACAUCAUCAGCAAAGUCAGAGAAAACUUUCCCAUUCUAAGGCAAGGUACCCAUACAGAUACAAGAAGCACAGGAGCACCAAACCAAAAAGAAUGCCCCUCAUGUCAUAUUACAGUUAAAACAAUAAAUAUAAAGAAAAAGAAAGGGUAUUGAAAGCUGCAACAAAACAAACACACACACACACACACACACACACACACACACACAAACCAACAUCAGAAUAACAGCUGUUUUAUCGUUAGGAAUUUAAAAGCUUUAAGAGUUCUAAAAGAACACAAGUGCCAACUUAGUUUAGUGUACCCAGCAAAACAUCCUCCACAGAUGACAGAGAAGGAAAAACUGUGCAUGGUAUAAACAGGCUAAAAGAAAUACAUACAUGUAAGCAGGCCCUGCAGAAGUGAUAUUUCAGAUUGAAGAGAGGAAUAAGUAUAGACAUGAGACUGAAGAAAAAAAAACAAGUGAUAAUACAAUUGUUGAAACACAAAAUACAGCUAGAAAUACAUGCAGCAAAUAGAAAAAAAUAAUAAAAUGUUAUCAACAAACACUUUCAAUAAUAAUUUUAAAUAUUUAUGUCCUUAGCAGUCAAAAAAAAAAAAAAGACACAGGCUAACUUAAUGGAUGAAGAAACAAAACUACAUUCUUGUUGUCUACAAGAAUAUCUGCUUUAAAUGUGCACAACCUUAAAGUGAAAAAACAGAAAAAAAGAGGACUUCAAACAAGUAAAAACUUUAAUAUUCCAAUAUUCAAAAAUUAGACUUCAAACCAAAAUUAAUCAAACUAGAUUAAAAAAAAAAACCAUUUCAUUCUAAUUAAGAGAAUGAUUACUCAAAAAGACACUACAAUCCUAAGCAUAUACACAUCAAACUUUGUGGUACUCUAGUUCUUAUAAAGCAAACUCCUGAAUUUAAAGGCACAGAUUAACACAAAAUACAUUAAGAGUAAGUGAUUGUACUUUCUCCAGUAGACUGGUAAUCUGGACAAAAAAAUAAAGAAAGAACCAUCAAGGUUAAAUUAUACCAUAGAUCAAAUGGACCUGACACAUCUACAGAAUAGUCCAUCCAAAUCUC